CGGGGGGAGGAGGGGCCCUGGCGGAGACUCGUGGCUCCUGCCUCUGUUUACAAGCCUUGUACUCUUUUAAUGUCAGCCUGCUCCUUUUCCCCGUCAAACUGGAGAGAGAGAGAGAGAGAGAGAUAGUCAGAACGGAACGGCAGAGCUCCUUCUCCCCUUCAGACAGAGAGAGAGAUAGUCAGAACGGAACGGCAGCGCUCAGAGGACACACGGAGCCGCUCUCGAUACAAACUACAGCAUGGCUAGGCGACCGAGACACAGUGUGUACAGUAGUGAGGAAGAUGAUGAUGACAGUGAGAUGUAUGAACAUGACUAUGAUGGACCGCUGCCCAAGCCAAGCAAACGCCAUCUAGGCAAGACACGCUGGACACGAGAAGAGGAUGAGAAGCUGAAGAAGUUAGUAGAACAUCAUGGAUCAGAAGACUGGAAACUCAUCACUAGUUUCCUACCUAACCGUACAGACGUUCAGUGUCAGCAUCGCUGGCAGAAGGUUCUCAACCCAGAGCUCAUCAAAGGACCCUGGACCAAGGAGGAGGACCAGAGAGUUAUCGAACUAGUCCAGAAGUAUGGAGCCAAGCGUUGGUCCGUAAUCGCCAAGCAUCUGAAGGGUCGGAUAGGGAAGCAAUGCAGAGAACGCUGGCACAACCACCUGAACCCCGAGGUGAAGAAGACUUCCUGGACCGAGGAAGAGGAUCAGAUCAUCUACCAGGCCCACGAGAAACUGGGAAACCGCUGGGCUGAGAUCGCUAAACUGCUGCCUGGCAGGACUGAUAAUGCCAUUAAGAACCACUGGAACUCUACGAUGCGUAGGAAAGUGGAGCAGGAAGGUUACCUUCAGCACCCCGCCGCCAAGUCUGUCCACGCAUCCCUCACCGUCUCUCCCGGUUACGCCAAGGCCAACAACCACAUCAUGAGCUUCUCUCACCACUCCCCUCUCCCGCCUCUCUCACCUUUCACAGGGAACCACUCCUAUAUUUCGGACCACAGGGUGCCCUUCCCCCGAGGGCUGCACGUCAACAUCCUGAACAUUCCACAGCACGGAACAGCUGCUAUACAGAGACAUUAUAGUGAGGAGGACCCAGAAAAGGAGAAGAGAGUGAAGGAGAUUGAGCUGCUGCUAAUGUCAACAGAGAAUGAGUUGAGGGGACAGCCUGCACUACCUAUCAACCCGUACUCCAGCUGGGCAGGUAGUGACAGCUCAGAAGGCGUGGCCACAUCGUGCCAUCACCACCAGGCCGCCGGCCCCUGCCUCCCCGAGGAGAGCGCCUCGUCCUCACGCAGCAACAACAGCAACAAUAACAACAACAACAACAACAACAACAACAGCAGCAGCAACAACAACAGUCACCAUGGCAGCCACACCCUCUCCAACCUCCCGGAGUUCAUGGAGUCAGUCAUCGACUCGUUUCUCAACCAAUCGGCGAGCACGGAAAGCUCAGACAGCGACAGCCUACCAAUGAGCUCCCAGAAACAUCUGCUGGCCACGCCUCUACACCGAGACCACACCCCCCGACCCCAGAAAAGAAAUGACAUGUUCAGAACUCCUACUAUCCGUCGUUCCCUCCUGGAGUUGUCUCCUCGUACUCCGACCCCCUUCAGGUCUUCCAUGGUAGAGUGUAUAAAACAGGAACCUAUGGAGUGUGUUGUCUCGGUCGGGGACCAACAGCCAACCCUAAAGAAGAUCAAACAAGAGGUGGAGUCUCCCUGUCUGCAGUGGAAAGGGUCAGACCUCCCUACCCAGCUCUUCUCCCCCUCUGGCCCCGUCCAGGAAGUACCUGAUCUGCUGACACGUUCUGUGCUGAGUGAUGACAAACCCUACCACCUCUCCCUCCGGCCCCUGGCCAGCCCACUACAGGUCAGUGUUGCCGAAGCAAAGUGAAAAGCACAAUAUGAAAACAACAUUGACAACAACAACAAUAGCAGCUAAAGAAAACAGCUCAACACAUGGGACCAAGUGGCUUGUGGGAAGGUGGAGGAUCAAGAACAGAACCACAAAUACAUCCACACUUACUCUGCCAGAACCUUGGUUAUGUAACACACACACACACACACACACACACACACACACACACACACACACACACACACACACACACACACACACACACACACACACACACACACACACACACACACACACACACACACACACACACAGUGGGUACACCGGAUCAAAGACCUUGUGUUUAUUUCUAUUUCAACUUUUUUUUGUAGAUUUUUUUAAUGCUUUGUUGUUUUAUAAAACAGGGAGAAAAUGAUGUGCCUAUAAUUCAGUAAUAAUUGGGCUAUAUUCUAUAUUCUUAAUAAUCCUAAAUUGUAAUAUUGUAAUAUAAGGAACAAGUUGAUUAAUUUAUUUUGUUUUGAGGAAGACUGUUUUUUUUAUAUAACCGGCCAAUCGAGCAGUGUUUGACUUCAGUAUUUGAACCUUAACCCCUGACCCCUAACCCUUGACCCCUAACCCCAGGCCCUAGCAUUAUAACAGGUUAAAGGUUGUUUUUUUUUUAAGUGCAAAAAAAGAUGAUUAUGAAACGAAUUAAACGACCCCCCCUCUGUAUUUCAGUCACACUUAGAGUCCGAGGAGAGGCCUUUACAAAACAUCACAAUGCCUUUAUAAUGCCUAUAUGAGUGUUACCAUGUCAGGCAUUACGUCAUACGUCAGCUCCUAUGUCAACCUUCUGAAUGGUUAUGAAUGAUCAUAUGAUGCUGUUUCACCCGUAUUCUGAUUCGUCUUGUUUCCUAUCUUGUCUAUAUACUGUAUCAUAGGGGAAACAUUUCCAUUCAACAAAAUGUAUUAUUAUUCAUGUUAUUACUUUUGUCCUAAAGUCUUACACUGAGUUUACUACAGAUGCAUCAAACUAUGACCCCUAGACCCUACGGCCUAUGAUUGACCCCUAGACCCUACGGCCUAUGAUCGACCCCUAGACCCUACGGCCUAUGAUCGACCCCUAGACCCUACGGCCUAUGAUCGACCCCUAGACCCUACGGCCUAUGAUCGACCCCUAGACCCUACGGCCUAUGAUCGACCCCUAGACCCUACGACCUAUGAUCGACCCCUAGACCCUACGGGCUAUGAUCGACCCCUAGACCCUACGGCCUAUGAUCGACCCCUAGACCUUACGGCCUAUGAUCGACCCCCUAGACCCUGACGGCCUAUGAUCGACCCCUAGACCCUGAUCGACCCCCUAUGAUCGACCCCUAGACCUUACGGCCUAUGAUCGACCCCUAGACCCUACGGCCUAUGAUCGACCCCUAGACCCUACGACCUAUGAUCGACCCCUAGACCCUACGACCUAUGAUCGACCCCUAGACCUUACGGCCUAUGAUCGACCCCUAGACCCUACGGCCUAUGAUCGACCCCUAGACCUUACGGCCUAUGAUCGACCCCUAGACCCUACGGCCUAUGAUCGACCCCUAGGGUUCUAUGGGUCAAUUGAAGAGUGGGCCUACGAGCUGAACCCAGUAACAUGUUUUAAAGCUGCACUUGAUCGAGAACGCUGUUAUUUUUCUAGAUAUUGAUAAGAUUACUACAAACGUGGGCUCACAGGAUACCAAGAUUACUUUUGAUACUUUGUCUGUUUUGUUGUUGUUGUUGUUGUUGUUGUUGUUUUCUACCGUCUUUGUAAUCUAAUGCCACGAUACUAAACCAUGUCGCGUGUGUCAGAUCGAAAAACACUCAGCAGUGUUCUCUCUUAUCUUGUUUGGUGCCCUUUUUUACAUUUUUAUAAAAGCAUUUCCACAGGACAGGUUUUUAUGUGGUUUUUUAAUACUUUUUCAAUAAAGUCUUUUUUUUAAAAUCAGA